ACGCUCGACACCUACUGGAGGCAGCAGUGGGGAAUAUUGCACAAUGGGGGAAACCCUGAUGCAGCGACGCCGCGUGAGCGAAGAAGUAUUUCGGUAUGUAAAGCUCUAUCAGCAGGGAAGAAAUGACGGUACCUGACUAAGAAGCCCCGGCUAACUACGUGCCGGCAGCCGCGGUAAUCUGAGGCGGCUGGCAAGGC
rnacentral:rRNA from 1 species